rnacentral:rRNA from 1 species
GACGAACGCUGGCGGCGUGCUUAACACAUGCAAGUCGAACGGUAAGGCCCUUCGGGGUACACGAGUGGCGAACGGGUGAGUAACACGUGGGUGAUCUGCCCUGCACUUCGGGAUAAGCCCGGGAAACUGGGUCUAAUACCGGAUAGGACCACUGCCUGCAAGGGUGGUGGUGGAAAGCUUUUGCGGUGUGGGAUGGGCCCGCGGCCUAUCAGCUUGUUGGUGGGGUGAUGGCCUACCAAGGCGACGACGGGUAGCCGGCCUGAGAGGGUGAUCGGCCACACUGGGAGUGAGGUACGGCCCAGACUGCUACGAGAGGCAGCAGUGGGGGAUAUUGCACAAUGGGCGCAAGCCGGAUGCAGCGAUGCCGCGUGAGGGAUGGCGGCCUUCGGGUUGUAAACCUCUUUCGGCACCGACGAAGCGCAAGUGACGGUAGGUGCAGAAGAAGGACCGGCCAACUACGUGCCAGCAGCCGCGGUAA